AGCGAACGCUGGCGGCAGGCUUAACACAUGCAAGUCGAGCGCCCCGCAAGGGGAGCGGCAGACGGGAGAGUAACACGUGGGAACAUACCUUUUGGUUCGGAACAACUGAGGGAAACUUCAGCUAAUACCGGAUAAGCCCCUACGGGGAAAGAUUUAUCGCCGAAAGAUUGGCCCGCGUCUGAUUAGCUAGUUGGUGAGGUAACGGCUCACCAAGGCGACGAUCAGUAGCUGGUCUGAGAGGAUGAUCAGCCUCACUGGGACUGAGACACGGCCCAGACUCCUACGGGAGGCAGCAGUGGGGAAUAUUGGACAAUGGGGGCAACCCUGAUCCAGCCAUGCCGCGUGAGUGAUGAAGGCCUUAGGGUUGUAAAGCUCUUUUGCCCGGGAAGAUAAUGACGGUACCGGGAGAAUAAGCCCCGGCUAACUUCGUG
rnacentral:rRNA from 1 species